rnacentral:rRNA from 1 species
CCUACGGGGGACAGCAGUGAGGAAUAUUGGUCAAUGGCCGAGAGGCUGAACCAGCCAAGUCGCGUGAGGGAAGACGGCCCUACGGGUUGUAAACCUCUUUUGUCGGGGAGCAAAGCGAGUCACGUGUGACUCAUUGAGAGUACCCGACGAAAAAGCAUCGGCUAACUCCGUGCCAGCAGCCGCGGUAAUACGGAGGAUGCGAGCGUUAUCCGGAUUUAUUGGGUUUAAAGGGUGCGCAGGCGGAGGUGCAAGUCAGCGGUCAAAUUGCGGGGCUCAACCCCGUACUGCCGUUGAAACUGCAGCCCUUGAGUGCGCGAGAAGUAUGCGGAAUGCGUGGUGUAGCGGUGAAAUGCAUAGAUAUCACGCAGAACUCCGAUUGCGAAGGCAGCAUACCGGCGCGCAACUGACGCUCAUGCACGAAAGCGUGGGUAUCGAACAGGAUUAGAUACCCCUGUAGUC